GAUGAACGCUGGCGGCGUGCUUAACACAUGCAAGUCGAGCGAAGCACUUACCAUUGACUCUUCGGAAGAUUUGGUAAAUGACUGAGCGGCGGACGGGUGAGUAACGCGUGGGUAACCUGCCUCAUACAGGGGAAUAACAGUUAGAAAUGGCUGCUAAUGCCGCAUAAGCGCACAGUACCGCAUGGUACGGUGUGAAAAACUGAGGUGGUAUGAGAUGGACCCGCGUCUGAUUAGGUAGUUGGUGGGGUAACGGCCUACCAAGCCGACGAUCAGUAGCCGGCCUGAGAGGGUGAACGGCCACAUUGGGACUGAGACACGGCCCAGACCCCUACGGGAGGCAGCAGUGGGGAAUAUUGCACAAUGGGGGAAACCCUGAUGCAGCGACGCCGCGUGAAGGAAGAAGUAUCUCG
rnacentral:rRNA from 1 species